CCAUUUGUCUCGGUGAUGGAUUUCCUAUUUUUACCGACAGCAACUGAGUCGAGGGACGCGUGAAUAAUAGAUGGAGGCUUAGCAGCUCGCGGUGAAAUACUGUCACGGAGAAGCCUCACUAUGAAACAGCCAGUGAUAAAUGACCAUCUCUCCCCCUCCACCAUCUCCACAGCAACCUCUGCUCUGCCUAAGUGCUUCUGAUUAGUGACCCAUGACUUAAAGACGCUGAUGAAUCUGCGCCUACGCGGAUCGAACGUAACCCCAAUCAGACCACCGGCUUCAGCGAAACAUUUCUGUCACAAACUUCAUCCCUCAUUCAUCGAGAACUUAAUCUCUCUGUUAAACAACGAUUAGAUGCUGAAAAAAUGCUGUUGUUUGUAGACAAAGAACAGGAGGGAGACUUGUUAUAUUUUGCC